GUUGAGCGCAAUCACCAGGUCUAGAAGCAGGAACUUGGAGGGAGGCGUCAGCCUGUUGUCCCUGCCAGCGUGAUCUGAUCAUUCUUUGACAGUGUCCUGGAUUCCAAACUCCUGUUCUCUGUAUUCAUGCUCCAGCGAGUUUUAGAAACAACUCCCUACCGCUCCAACCGUGUGUCUCCCUUCCUUUCUUACCUCCAGUCCCUCAGCUGUGAGAUCACCUCAUGGAAACACCAAACCAUUGCUCACCUGCCCACUCUCCAACACAGCCUGCUCAGCUGAAGGACUGCCGCUAAAGGAUCACAAACAGAGAACGUCAGCACUGUGAAUCUUGGUGCAACUCCUGCCAAACUCAGCUGCUGUGGGGAAGACUUGCCACCUCCAACAAGCCAUCAUCCACCACCAACACUGGUGCCUACCUCCAGCAGUCUACGAGCGAGAGGCAGGGUGCACACUGGACAGGUUACCAGUCCAUCGUAGGGGCAACACAGA